rnacentral:rRNA from 1 species
AGUGAACGCUGGCGGUAGGCCUAACACAUGCAAGUCGAACGGCAGCACCGUAAGAGCUUGCUCUUACGGGUGGCGAGUGGCGGACGGGUGAGGAAUACAUCGGAAUCUACUUUUUCGUGGGGGAUAACGUAGGGAAACUUCCGCUAAUACCGCAUACGACCUACGUGUGAAAGCAGGGGAUCUUCGGACCUUUCGCGAUUGAAUGAGCCGAUGUCGGCUUCGCUCGUUGGCGGGGUAAAGGCCCACCAAGGCCACGAUCCGUAGCUGGUCUGAGAGGAUGAUCAGCCACACUGGAACUGAGACACGGUCCAGACUCCUACGGGAGGCAGCAGUGGGGAAUAUUGGACAAUGGGCGCAAGCCUGAUCCAGCCAUACCGCGUGGGUGAAGAAGGCCUUCGGGUUGUAAAGCCCUUUUGUUGGGAAAGAAAAGCAGCAGGUUAAUACCCCGCUGUUCUGACGGUACCCAAAGAAUAAGCACCGGCUAACUUCGUG